rnacentral:lncRNA from 1 species
CUUCAGUGUUCAGAAAGCACCAACAUCAAUUAAUGCCAGUGUGAAUCCAGUAGGACAUUUUCUGACCUCUUUAAUCUCUUCCCUCCCCAAACACCAGCUCUAAGUGGUCAGAAAUUACUAUGGUGAACAAGCUGGUGAGAGGAGCAUAUAAGCCUUAGAUGGGGUAAGAGAAGAGAAACCAGCUCUCCUGCCCUGAUGUAAGACUUCCCAUCUGCUACAGAGGAAGGAGAGGAGUCCAAAUUGUAAAGAAAUUUUGAGUUUUGAAAAUUACCUGUUACUGAUCUUUCUAAUUACUGAACUGAGACUGUUUUGUGGUUUAACUUGACUGUAAGACAUUUUAUAUUUAUUAUUAUUAUUUAAGAAAAUGCCAUGAGGCCUGCCAAGGACAGAGAAAUAGUUGUCCCAGAGAUAAAUCUAAAGGGAAAAAGGAAACUAAUAUAAAGUCAUUUUUGGAUUACACUCCCUGAGUUGUGCUUGUUCAACAUAAAAAUUACAUUGACAUUUAUGCUUCUGACCAAGUGUGGACUUCAUGACAUGUUGCGUUCCCCCAGUAGACAGACACUGAGAUGGAAAUUUGCAUACCGAAGGUGGAUUGAGGAUUGUUUAUCUGAAAAAAACAUCUAUGGUGGAGUAAGAAAAAUCACGACUGGGCUAUGGAGAAAGCUGAACUGGGAUGCAGAACAGAAGCUUCAGCCUCACUCGUGGGGAGCUCUGGCGCUAAAAAAACUCAUCGAAGAUUUCCCAAAUUGGAACAAGGCCUCUGUACUCCUGCAUUGACCAGUCAUGUGCCACUGUCACAAUGCUCUCAUGCCAAACCUUGACUGCAAAGCUGAGAUGUUAAUAUGGAACACCUGAGAGGGCUGGCACUUCAGCGUCCUUAUUCCUCCAGAACCACACCACAAAAGUCACCUUCUCCCCAGACAGAUUCUCUACAAAAUGCCUUGCAGCCGAGGUGUGGUGGAAAGAAUAUUGUAUUUGGAAUAAAAAAUUUUUGAUUUUGCACCAUCA